rnacentral:rRNA from 1 species
AGACCACCAGUUAAGGUCCCCAAAUAUAUGUUAAGUGGAAAAGGAUGUGGGGUUGCUUAGACAACCAGGAUGUUGGCUUAGAAGCAGCCACCAUUGAAAGAGUGCGUAAUAGCUCACUGGUCGAGUGACCCCGCGCCGAAAAUGUACCGGGGCUAAACAUAUUACCGAAACUGUGGAUGAACCUCUUUAGAGGUUCGUGGUAGGAGAGCGUUCUAAGGGCGGUGAAGUCAGACCGGAAGGACUGGUGGAGCGCUUAGAAGUGAGAAUGCCGGUAUGAGUAGCGAAAGAAGGGUGAGAAUCCCUUCCACCGAAUAUCUAAGGUUUCCUGAGGAAGGCUCGUCCGCUCAGGGUUAGUCGGGACCUAAGCCGAGGCCGAUAGGCGUAGGCGAUGGACAACAGGUAGAGAUUCCUGUACCAGUGCUAAUUGUUUAACCGAUGGGGUGACACAGAAGGAUAGGGAAUCGCACGAAUGGAAAUGUGCGUCCAAGCAGUGAGUGUGAGAAGUAGGCAAAUCCGCUUCUCGCGAAGCAUGAGCUGUGAUGGGGAAGGAAAUUAAGUACGGAAGUUCCUGAUUUCACGCUGUCAAGAAAAGCCUCUAGGAAGAGUAGUACUGCCCGUACCGCAAACCGACACAGGUAGAUGAGGAGAGAAUCCUAAGGUGAGCGAGAGAACUCUCGUUAAGGAACUCGGCAAAAUGACCCCGUAACUUCGGGAGAAGGGGUGCUCUAUUAGGGUGCAAGCCCGAGAGAGCCGCAGUGAAUAGGCCCAGGCGACUGUUUAGCAAAAACACAGGUCUCUGCAAAACCGUAAGGUGACGUAUAGGGGCUGACGCCUGCCCGGUGCUGGAAGGUUAAGAGGAGUGCUUAGCUUCGGCGAAGGUACGAAUUGAAGCCCCAGUAAACGGCGGCCGUAACUAUAACGGUCCUAAGGUAGCGAAAUUCCUUGUCGGGUAAGUUCCGACCCGCACGAAAGGCGCAACGAUCUGGGCACUGUCUCAACGAGAGACUCGGUGAAAUUAUAGUACCUGUGAAGAUGCAGGUUACCCGCGACAGGACGGAAAGACCCCGUGGAGCUUUACUGCAACCUGAUAUGGAAUGUUUGUACCGCUUGUACAGGAUAGGUAGGAGCCGAAGAGACGUGUGCGCUAGCAUACGAGGAGGCAAUGGUGGGAUACUACCCUGGCUGUAUGACCAUUCUAACCCGCCACGCUUAGCGCGUGGGGAGACAGUGUCAGGUGGGCAGUUUGACUGGGGCGGUCGCCUCCUAAAGAGUAACGGAGGCGCCCAAAGGUUCCCUCAGAAUGGAUGGAAAUCAUUCGCAGAGUGUAAAGGCACAAGGGAGCUUGACUGCGAGACUGACAAGUCGAGCAGGGACGAAAGUCGGGCUUAGUGAUCCGGUGGUUCCGCAUGGAAGGGCCAUCGCUCAACGGAUAAAAGCUACCCCGGGGAUAACAGGCUUAUCUCCCCCAAGAGUCCACAUCGACGGGGAGGUUUGGCACCUCGAUGUCGGCUCGUCGCAUCCUGGGGCUGUAGUCGGUCCCAAGGGUUGGGCUGUUCGCCCAUUAAAGCGGCACGCGAGCUGGGUUCAGAACGUCGUGAGACAGUUCGGUCCCUAUCCGUCGCGGGCGCAGGAAAUUUGAGAGGAGCUGUCCUUAGUACGAGAGGACCGGGAUGGACACACCGCUGGUGUACCAGUUGUUCCGCCAGGAGCAUCGCUGGGUAGCUAUGUGUGGCAGGGAUAAACGCUGAAAGCAUCUAAGCGUGAAGCCCCCCUCAAGAUGAGAUUUCCCAUUUCUUCGGAAAGUAAGAUCCCUGAAAGAUGAUCAGGUAGAUAGGUUUGGAGUGGAAGUGUAGCGAUACAUGGAGCGGACAAAUACUAAUCGAUCGAGGACUUAACCAAAA